rnacentral:lncRNA from 1 species
CCAGUCAGAAUAGAAGGCCUAGAACCAGGAGCAAGAAGGGGAUGGACGGCCCAGCCCCUGAGCCAGGGUGGGGGUGGGGGAUCCAAGCCUCCUCACCUUGUUCUAUUUGGCACUUGGACCAAUUAGACAAGGCCCACCCAAUGGGGGAAGCCUGCUCACUUCAGUCAGUAGUGAAAAAAUCCUCGUCUGUCUGGGAACAGCCUUGCUGCCUACCCAGAAAUAGUCUAACCUAGCAUCUGAGGAUCCCACAGCCCUGGGGAGUUGAUGGAGUAGCCAUCACACUGCCCGGUGCCAGCCCUUCCCAAACAUCUCUCCUGACCUGACCCGCCAAUAUCUCCCUGUAAGUGCCAAAGGCACCACAGAGAGGAUUCCUGGGCUCUUCACCAGCGUCCCAAGUCAGCUGGUCAGAAAGCUCACGGUCUUCCACCUUUAUGGAGAACAUGUCUCCUUAAAAAAAAAAAAAAAAAA